rnacentral:rRNA from 1 species
UACAGAGGUCCCAAGCGUUGUUCGGAUUCACUGGGCGUAAAGGGUGCGUAGGUGGCCGGGUAAGUCUGACGUGAAAUCUCCGAGCCUAACUCGGAAACUGCAUCGGAUACUAUCCGGCUUGAGGAUUGGAGGGGGGACUGGAAUUCUCGGUGUAGCAGUGAAAUGCGUAGAUAUCGAGAGGAACACCAGUGGCGAAGGCGAGUCCCUGGACAACUCCUGACACUGAGGCACGAAAGCUAGGGGAGCAAACAGG